UACGUAGGGGGCAAGCGUUGUCCGGAAUCAUUGGGCGUAAAGCGCGUGUAGGCGGCCAGAAAAGUCCGCUGUGAAGACUCGAGGCUCAACUUCGAGCUGUCGGUGGAAACUUUCUGGCUAGAGUCCGGAAGAGGAGAAUGGAAUUCCUGGUGUAGCGGUGAAAUGCGCAGAUAUCAGGAAGAACACCCGUGGCGAAGGCGGUUCUCUGGGACGGUACUGACGCUGAGACGCGAAAGCGUGGGGAGCGAACAGG
rnacentral:rRNA from 1 species